GCGACCUUCGCCAGUGGCCGGACAAGAGAGGAGGAUCUCAAGUACUGUCGCCACCACCCAUGGUCUGCUCUUCCCCUUUUUCUCUCCUCAUCGCCAAGAUUGAAGAGUGGGCUGGCAGGCUGAACGACGCUGCUCAUCCAAUCCGCUCGCGGUCUCGCUGGGCAGGAGGAGGCCGAGAUGCAGCCGGGUUGCCUCCUCGCUCUCCUCUUCCCCAAUCCCCCGUGCCUCUCCUCCUCUAGCUCUUUGGCCCCUUCUCCACUGCCACCCAUCUCCCAAUUUUCUCCAUGGCUGGAACAUGGAGAGGCAGAGGAAAGCAAAGCACCAUGGAUGCGGAGGCAGAGCUCGACGUUGAGGAGCAACUCCCCUCCGUCUAGGAUCUACAGCAGUUUUUCAAUGGUGAGUUGGUGCUACUGGUGGUGAGGGGCACGAAGACGGAGUACUUGGUGGAUCUGUAGUUGUACUACAUCACCGAAUCCUUGGUGUUGGUCGUCAUGGAAAAACACAUCUAGAGGUGAUUAGCAAGGUAUGUUGACUCUUGCUGUGCAUAAGGGGCCAGAGGUCUCUCCACGAUUUGAGACAUACUAGAAAAUUCCAUGGUCGAUCAAGAGCAGCGAUGUUGUGUUGAUGAAGAGCAGGGUCAUCAGGGUGUUCAGGAUGCCAUCAAAUUAUCUCAAGAUUGGUGUUCUUGCAGCUCUAGAUUGUCACCCACUGGGUGGAGCUCGGUUAACCAUGGAUUUGCGGCAAGAAGAACUCACGCCAAGAUUAAUUUGUUGUUAAUGAUGUCCUGCUGGCUCAGCUCUUCUCCACGGUAUUCUCAUGGCCGGCCUAAGGUACAAGCGGAUACCAGCAGCACUGGGGCUCAUACUGGUCAGCCAGGUCCUGGCAGUGCCCAGGGACAAAGCAUCGAUGACGGCAAACUUGCUGACUCUGCACUGUCCUAGAAUUUAGGGUGGAAGCCGCAUAGGUUUGUCUGACAUUGAUGAUUGAUAGAUCUUUAUCUGUUAUAUCCCUUUGUUGAACACGCGCAUUUGUUUUUUACCUUUUGCAUUCAGGUUCCCAUCAUACUACUAAUUCUUACAUUUUAAUAUUUCUCUGUAAGAAGGUGGAACGACAAUGCUGUAGAAGUAUGAUAAAGAUGUGUCUAACAAACAACUCCGCUUUAUCCUUUACGUCCACACAGUAAGUGUUCUCCUUAAUUUAGCUCUUGCAAACGAGAGCAAGUCGAGUAGUCUGCUAGCUUUCUCAGUUUUUCAAUUUGUGUAGUGAAGAAGAUUAAGAAGUUUCUAAUUCGUAUUUACCUCACAGACACUCAUUUUCUAUUUUGCUAAAUUUUCAUUACUAAAGGAGGUGCAUCAUUAUUUUUUGUUUUCCUUAGUUAGGUUCAUUCUUCAGUGUCAUUGAUAUGAUUUGGCUCAAAACAGUCCAUGGUAAAGAUGGUUUUAUGUUGCUUUGUACAUGUGACAUGGGAAACCAACGAGGAAAGCUCACUUCUGGUGGUGAUGCUCUAAUAUCAUGGGGCAAGUGAUUCUUCUCUUUUGCUUCUGGCAUUGUCUUCUUUGAAUCCUCCUUAUCUAUUGUACUUAGGAUGGGGGAGGGACACGUAUAUGCUGAUGUGACGGUUGUGGUCAUCCUGUACAUUUGCAGCCUCACCUCUACACAACCUCCUACAUUUGACCAUGCAAUUCAUGUCCACUUUGUCCAGGGCUGUUACCUUUUCCUUUUAAUUUAUUUAGCAGAUGUGAACAUCCUUGGUUAUAUUUGUUUGCCAAAAAUUAAUCCCCAAACCUUCUUGUUUCGUUUGUGCAGAUUUCUUUUGAAGAAGUACAUGUGUGUUCUAGCUUGGUGGACAUUAGCCCAAGAUCUGGAAGAAAUCAAGAGAUAACCAAUUGAUGUUGUGGAUGACAUCUAAGGUUGUAGCUAUUGCAUAUAGGACAGUCAGCCACACUAUUGAUAUCUCCAUCAUUGCCAGUACCGCCUGCCCUGUUGUCAUGAAUUAUAUGCAGUCACAUUAUUUGCUGAAAUUGGUCCAACCUGGACAUAGCAUGAUGCACCGAGGAGGUACACGACCACCGGUGUCCGUCUCGUCUGAUGUUCUCGAUAUAGAGAAUACAUCUAUGCAGCAACCCUAGGUAUGCCAUUUCUUAUGUUGUUCUCCCUAGAGCCUUCAUCCGCGGUCAAUGGUGCACUAAACUGGCACACUGUAGGAGCAGAUAUGGGCCAUGAAAUCGAGAUUUUCUUUGGCAUAUAGUUAGGCUAUGCUUUUAGGAGAUAUAAAUGUUCUCCUGAAAUUUUAGUUCCACAUAACUAUUAUUAAUUAUCAUAUGAAGGAGAGGUACUUGUGGUAAUGAUUUUUUUGUUAGUUGUUUGCAUCAAAAAAUAUAAUGAUGGACUGCUAUCUUAAUAGGCCCUUCAGACAGGUGAAUAGUUUUUCCUGUACAGUUGACAAGUAAUUUCUUUGGUUAUAGCAGUAAGAAGUGCAUGAGACAGAGAUAAUCAUGUUGAAUUGGCACUGCCACAUCAGGCAGCUAUAUUCACCACAAGUUAUGAAUCUAUUUCCUCAAGUGUCAUCGAUUAAUUUCCUAACAAAGCUAUUACUGCAACAACAGUUUUCUUUCGGUUCCGAAUUAUUAUUCCACGGUGUUCAAGUUGGUUUCAUACCAGGAAGACAUGUAAUGUUUUAAGUUUCUAACGUCAGUAGAAAAUGAUUCAAAACUUUUCUAUUAAUUUUCUGGAUGGCUUUUGUCGUGUUCUCGAGCUAACUCGGUUGAUCUGGUUAAUGCAUGUACAACGGCAAAUGAGAAUUAAAAUUUCAUUAUUUUUUGCAUGGAAUGAUUCAUAUCAAUAUGACAAGGAUACAUGCAACUUAGAUAACUAUUUGCUAUAUGCAAUGCUAUUGGGAGACCAAGCACUAUGCCAGCUCUCUUAAAAAAGCAUAGUACCAUGCCAGCAAAUUAGAUGGUGACGUAUUGAUUCAGGUGAACCAAUUACUAGAACUGUCUUUUACUCAGCCUUCAUAGUUUUGGUGUUUUACAAAGUACAACACGGGCUACAUUUACCUUGCUAUUACAGCUGCCAGAUGGAGCAAAGCUUUUUUCUAGAAAAAGUUAUCGUGCUGCAUACUUGUGAGUUAAUGUUGUUUCAUGUCCUUCCUUGGGAGGAUCUAUUUUGAAUCCACCAAACUAGAUGAGCAGUUUUCCUCUCUUUCUGUAUGCCCCUUAUGCUGAUGCCCCAAUCAAAGAAUGGAAUUUUCUGUAUCCCCUAAUGUACGAGUUACUGUUUAGUGCAAGGUUGCCUCAGAUCUUCAUUUGUCUACUGCAUUGCUUAUUCAUUUCCUAUUUAUUAUAUGUGUAAGUAUAAGCUGGACAUUGGAACCGAUAAUCUGAAGUUGUAUUUAUGUAUUUCACAUUCACGUGCAUCAUGCUUUCCAUGCCUCUACUCCUCAUCUUGAUAUGCAGUUAAGGUAUUGGUUUGCUGCCUUUUCUUUCAAAAUGGAUCUCUUUUUAUGUACUCUGAUUUUGUGAUGUUUUCUUCUAUUUAUAUCUGUUAGGGCACGUGUUCUUGAGGUUAAUUCUGGUAAAAUCUUCGAACGUAAGGAUAGAGCAACUUACUGAUCGAUACCUCAGAAAAGCACCAUAGGGAAGCUACUCAUUUAGGAUUCUUCUCCAACUCAUUUUGUAUUAUUGUUUUGUUCAGUCAAGGAACAACUCCAACAUCAUGUACAUGUUCACUGAAUAGAAACUUGUCAUGGCUUGCUGAGAGCUGGAGUAAGCUGGAGCUGGAGCAAAAAAUGUUUAGAGCCCCUUACAGCUCUCUGCACCACAUGUACUCCCUCUGAUGUAAACGUGUUGAUGGUUUAAUAAAAAAAGUCAACUUCAGGUCAGGACCCCUCUUUGUUCAGGUCACCAUUAAAAGGCAAUAUAUGCUAGAAUGGGAAUUGAAGGUUCUCGUGAUGGUGCAUACUUCUCGAAUUACAUCAUGUGAAAUGGGUACAUGAAAUUCAUACCUAUGUACUUGAACCUACUAGAAUAUAUUUUUCUACUUUCGGAACUUAAUUAGUUGCAGUGCAUUUCUCUAUUUUUCUCUAAUGGUUAGCGACAUGUGAAGUACUAUUAGUCCAGUUAUUUUGUCAAGUCUUUGACAUUCCAUGUAUUAUUACCCCCACUCCCUGGUAAAGUGGAUUGAUCUAUGCGUACACUUGACUUCCUGCUUUCUUAUAUUAAUAGAUUUUCAUACAUAUUUAGUAUAGCGUUUUACAAAACAUUUGUUGGUGCGACAGACCGGGGUUGCAAUUUGUUUUGUUCUUGAUGCUUGCCACCUUCUCGAAAUCGCAUCAGAUUUUUAUACAUAUUUAGUAUAGCGUUUUACAAAACGUUUGUUGGUGCCAGGGUUGCAAUUCGUUUAGUUCUUGACGCCUCUUGCCUUCUCAAAAAUUGCGCCACAAUUUGUUUACACCCUGAACUUUUCAAAGAAAUGGCUUUUUCAUGCUAACACAUAUAUAACGAUUUUCUCAGCUUAUUAUCAAGUGUAUCACAAAACGAUCAUCAAUGCGGAAUAACGGGGUCGCGCGCCAAGGCGCGCAUCAAAAUCU